rnacentral:rRNA from 1 species
CCUACGGGAGGCAGCAGUGAGGAAUAUUGGUCAAUGGACGCAAGUCUGAACCAGCCAUGCCGCGUGAAGGAUGAAGGCCUUCUGGGUUGUAAACUUCUUUUAUCUGGGAAGAAACCUCCGAUUUCUAUUGGAGUUGACGGUACCAGAGGAAUAAGCACCGGCCAACUCCGUGCCAGCAGCCGCGGUAAUACGGAGGGUGCAAGCGUUAUCCGGAUUUACUGGGUUUAAAGGGUGUGUAGGCGGGCUAUUAAGUCAGCGGUGAAAUCUCCGAGCUCAACUUGGAAACUGCCAUUGAUACUAUUAGUCUUGAAUUUUGUUGAGGUAGGCGGAAUAAGUCAUGUAGCGGUGAAAUGCAUAGAUAUGACUUAGAACACCAAUUGCGAAGGCAGCUUGCUAAACAAACAUUGACGCUGAGGCACGAAAGCGUGGGGGAUCAAACAGGAUUAGAUACCCUGGUAGUCCACGCCCUAAACCGAUGAUUACUCGACAUACGCGAUACACAGUGUGUGCCUGNGCGAAGACAUAAGUAAUACCACCUACGGAGUACGACCGCGAGUAGUAACGACGAAGAAGUAGACGGCGUGAGACGUAGACCGACGACGACGACGAGGGAGGAGG